CUAUCAGACUUGUAGCAAGGUUGUUCUAACAAGUUUGAUACAGGCAUGAUAUAACAAGAAUGUUACAAGGUUGACGACACAAGUUUGCAACAAUAUUGUUAUAUCAUGACUGUAUCGGACUUGUUGGGACAACCUUGCAACAAGUCUGAUAA
rnacentral:miRNA from 1 species